GCCGGGGUUGCCGAGUGGCAAGGCGCACGCCUGGAGAGCGUGUGGGCAUCGCCCGCGUGGGUUCAAAUCCCACCCCCGGCG
rnacentral:tRNA from 2 species